rnacentral:rRNA from 1 species
UGCGGCUGGAUCACCUCCUUUCUAAGGAUUUUAACGGAAUAUAAGACCUCGGGUCUUAUAAACAGAACGUUCCCUGUCUUGUUUAGUUUUGAAGGAUCAUUC